AUGGCCGACCACUCCGACUCCGACUCCUCUCCCAAGUCCUCUUCCUCCUCCUCUGCAUCCUCGUCCUCCGCCCGCCGACGCUCUCCCCCGCGCAUCCGGGCACACUCCGACGAGGGCGGCAGCAGCGACGGCGUCCUCGUCGAGCUCCCCUCGCAGGAUGCGCGGAGUCCCGGGGCAGACCCAGACGCUGGUAUCUUCGUCAGCAUGCCCGCUGACGAUGCCACCAGCGGCGAGACCUUCGAGGAUGCCCCUGACGACCUCACAACCGCUCGCUCGCUGGAUGAAUCCAUCGCCGUCAUCGACUUCCCCGACGAGUCCAGCUCCGCUGCCGAGUGCCGCAAGUACAAGGAAGAGAGAGAUGUGUGUGCACGGGAGGCAGCGGCACUCCGGAGAAUGCUACAGGAGCUGGUGGGGCAGGAAGUGAGUUCGUUGCAUGCAGAUGAUCCUGAUGAGAGGGCACCACUGCACUCAAUGCUGGAUGAUUGCUCGAGACUUGUGCUUGAACUGAAUUCAGCGGCACGUUCCAGGGAGCAGGAGGUUGACAGCUUACGUGCCAGGGCUGUUGAGGUCGAAGUGUCAAAAGAGGUUGUGGAUGCAUACCUUGGUUCGUGGAGGCAAGUGUCAGAACUAGCUAUUGGGCGAAUGGUUGCAUCGGUCGAUGCCGUGGUUGGGAAAGAUGCCAUCAGUUUUGAGGGUGUUGAUCAAGACGGGAUAUCUGUUGUCGAAAGGAAAACUUUGUUGCUAACAGAGCGGUACAGGCAGGUUUUAUUGGGCAUUGAACAACUUGAGCAGGUCUUGGCAGAGGUUAAGCCUGGUUUUGUGGCCAUGGGUCAAUGUGAUCAUGCCACUAUUUUAGGCAAUGUUUCAGAGGAAUUGGUCAGUAGCAAGAGAAAUGAAGCAAAUUUCAUGCAAAAGUUGAACAGUUUCGUGGAAGAAAACAAAAUCCUUACUGAAGAGCUUGAGAAAAUGAAAGCUGCUCGAGAUAUAGCAAAUGCUGAAGCAGGCAAAACAAAGGCAGAAAUUGAGCAGAUGGAGCAUAAAUUAUCAACUACUAAAGAGAAGCUCACCUUGGCUGUCACAAAGGGCAAGUCGUUGGUGCAGCAUCGUGAUUCCUUAAAGCAGACACUGGCUGAAAAAUCAGGUGAGCUGGAGAGGUGCAUGGUGGAGUUGCAACAGAGGUCUGAUGCCUUGCAAGAAUCUGAGGGCAGACUUGAGGAGCUUAAGAUGUUGUUAGAUGAAAAGUCAGCGGAACAUGAGAAAUGUUUGGACGAGCUUAGAGAAACAUACAACGCAUGGGAAGCUGCUAAGGCAAGCAUUGAGCAACUAAAUGAUGUAAACACUACACUUACAAUAAGUGAUGGGUUCCUUCAACGCAUUGGAGAGGUUAUGUCAGAGGCAACAUUUCCAGAGGAUCUGCUUUCCUUGGAGAUGAUUGACAGAUUGGAAUGGUUGGUUGAACAAAAGAAAAUUGCAGACAUGGUCUUCCUGGAGCACCGGAAAGUUAAAGAUAUUCUAGGCUCGGUUGACUUUCCACACUCAGUCUUAGCUGGUGAACUUGAUACACAAAUCACUUGGCUAGUCAACUCACUGAACCAGGCCAAAGAUGAUGCGGUGCGGAUGCAGAAUGAGUCUUCUGAAAUUCUUCAUAGGCUGUCUGCACAUGAAUCAAAACUGGUCUCGAUGCAUGAGGAAAUUGACCGUUUAACCAUAGUUCUAUUGGAAGAGAAGCAGGCAAAGGACAUACUUGUAAAUGAACUUUCUGAAUUAAUGUCCGUAUACAAUGGUGCUGUUGAUAAAUUAUCUGUUAUCUCAUCGCAGAAUACUGAGCUUGUAAAGGCAUUUGCAGAGGUUUCUGAUGUCAAAUGGGAGGACAAUGAGCCCCUGGAGACUACAAAAUUGGUGGACCAGUGCGCAAGCAGCAUCCAGCGAAGAGCAAAAUCCUCUCCUAUUGAGUGUGAAAGUUUAGAGAAGUUACAAACACUAGUGUAUACCCUACAUCAGGAAUUAACACUUUAUAAAUUAAUUCUUGAAGAAGACAUGACUGAUAGAUCUGAGAGAAUGAGACUAUCAGGUGAACUACAAAAAAUGACAGAGGCGAUUUAUGUUUUGAAAAAUGAAAAGGACUCAUUACAGAAAGAGUUUGAAAAGGUGGACGAAAAAUCAUCGUUGCUUAGGGAGAAGCUGUCAAUGGCCGUGAAAAAGGGGAAAGGUUUGGUACAGGAGCGUGAAGGACUCAAGCGAGUCCUCGAUGAGAAGAACUCUGAGAUAGAGAAGCUAAGACAUGCUAUUGAUGAAAAGAUCUCUGAAACAGAGAAUGUAAAACAUGCUUUGGAUAGGAAUAGCUCUGAGAUAGAGAAGCUGAAACAUGCUCUGGAUGAAAAGAACUCUGAGCUAGAAAAGCUCAGACAAGCUCUGGAUGUGAAUAACUCUGAAACAGAGAAUCUAAAACAAGCUCUGGAUGAGAAUAACUCUAUAUCAGAUAAGCUAAAACGAGAUCUGGAAGCAAGGAACACAGAAAUGGAGAAUCUGAAAUAUGAGAUAGUGUCAAGAGAAUCUGCAAAUACUGAUCUCAGAGAACAAGUUGAGAAUUUAUCUUCUCAGGUUACGCAUUUUGAUAAGCUGCAGUUGGACAUUAUUUUGCUUAGUGAGGAAAAGGGUAAAGUAGAUAACAUGUUGGAAGAAGCUAAAGUUUCCUUGGGCAUUCUAGUUGAUUCAGUAUCAAGCGUCGCUCUUCCUGUCGAUCACCCCUCUGAGGACCCUGUGAAAAAAAUAAGCCAGAUCGCCCAAUACAUAAUGGAGUCACAAGUUGCUAAGAAUCAUGUGGAGAAUGAGCUACAGAGAGCACAUGAGCAAGUUACUUUGCAAGCUGGCAGGCUUUCUGAUUCCUAUUCUACUAUAAAGAUAUUAGAAGAUGAGUUGAGUAAAUUAAAUGAGUAUAUUUCUUCUACUUUUGAAGAGAAAUACCAAAUGCAAUUGCGUACUGCUGCUGUAGAGGAGUUGGAGAAAACAAAUGAGGAACUGGCUCAUAAUGCCAACAAACUAGAAGAUGCCAAUGCAACUAUUAACUCACUGCAACAUGCAUUAUCACAGGCUAGAACAGAUGUUGCUAUUCUUAGUGCUGAAAAGAAUGAAGCUGGAGCCAAACAUGAAAUGGAAACCAGUGCUCUUAAUGCUAAGCUAGCUAAAUAUUUGGAAGAGUUAGAUAAAAGUCAUGGAAACUUACAAAGUUAUUCAACCGAACAUCAUGGUUACCUUGAGAAGCUUAGCACACUUGUAAUGGAUGAUAGUAUGAUGUCAUUGAUGGCUGAAGAAUUUGGAAAGAAGGUCAGCACCUUGAGAGAUAUGAGCCUUACAGUGAAGGGUAUGCAUGAACAUCUCGCUGCAAUGGGGUUCCAGAUUGAUCCUAUUAUGGAGGAUUCAGAGUUUGGCAAGCUUUUCUCUCUUCAAGACUACAAUAACUUUGUUACCGAAAGAAUGCUUGACAGAAAAAGCAGAAAAGAGAAUAUUGGUGAUGAUUCAUCCUUGAGUAAUAUUGUUGAACAAUGCAGCAAUCAAGCUGGACAUUUCUCUGGAUUUUUUAAAGAUAUAUCAGGUUACAUGGGUGACAAUAUUAUAUUGUUGCUCCGUGCUUUGCAAUUAGCAAGCAGCAACUUUGCUCGUACUUUAGAAGAGCACGACUCCUUGAAGAUUGAACUGGAGAACAAGGACGCUCAGAACAGAGCUCGAGAAGAUGAAUUGCUUUCGCUGCAAAAAGAGCUCAGGGCAAUGUCAUCAAAAUGUAUUUAUUGCACUGAACAGAUUCAAAUUAUUUUUGAUGGCUUGCUUGAUUUAGGUUACGCAAUAGACUUGGCAACAGGCAACUCCAGCAUUGUAUCAAAAGUAGGACAAACUUUGUCUGUUUUGAAGAACGAGGAGUCUGGUGAUUAUAUAAAGGUGGUGGACACUUUAGUAUCUUCCGUGAACAAACUGAAGUCAGAGUCUCAGAAGUUAUCUGAUAUUAAGGGGUUAGUGAUAACUUUGAUAGAAGAGUUGAAAAUGAGACUGAAACAAGCCGAGUCAGCUGCUGAAACUGCUUCAAAUGACCACCAGCUGUAUUUGGAAAGAGUACACAAACUGGAGGAAGAUCUCAGAACUGCAUAUGAUGAGCGCAAUGGAAUGGAAAUAAGGAUUCAGGAAUACCAGGAAAGAGAGGAUGUGUUGAAGGCAAGAGAAUUAGAGUUGCUGUCACUUGAACAAACUACAGUAGAAAGAGGUACAACUGAUGCAAUUUCAAAGGAUCAGCUGGAAGCACUUGUUGAAAAAGUAAAUAAACUAAAUAUACCAUCUGGCGAGUCGCAUUUGCAGAGGGAAGUGGCUAUGUUCUCUAGUCCCAUGGACAAAGUCUUCUUUGUUAUUGAUGAAUUUGAUGCACUCCAACGUGAAGCGGAGACCUUAAGAUAUGAAAAUGAAGAUUUACAGUUAAAUCUUGAAUCUCAUGCUCGGGAAAUUGAACAGCUCAAGGAGGUUUGCAGAAACAUUGAUUCAAAUCGUAGGGAGUUGGAAUCAAAAAGCAGUGAACUGCUUGAGGUAACAGUCAGUAUGGAGCGAAUGAUUCAGCGGUUUGGAUAUCUUGCUGGAAAAGAUGCGCUGGAAGAUAAUAAACCUGCAAGCACACAAACACUCUUACCAAAGCUGGAAAAACUAAUAAUCGCCUCAAGUAUGGAAUCUGGGAAUGCCAAGUCUGUAAAACAGGAGUUGGGAUCAAAGUUGCAGGCCAGGGAAAAGACAGUUGAUGAGUUAUCAGCAAAAGUUAAGAUGCUUGAGGACUUGUAUCAUUCUCAGCUUGUGCAGCCAGAGGUUAGUAAAGACAGAGCAUUUGACGCAUCUUCCUCGGCAAUUGGUUCAGACAUAUCCGAGAUUGAAGAUUUGGGGCCAAUGGGGAAGGCAUCGGUUUCAUCUGUCCCUACUGCUGCACAUGCCAGAGUAAUGCGGAAGGGUUCAUCCGACCAUCUUGUUCUUAAUAUGGGCUCAGAGUCUGAACGCCUAAUUGCUGCACAUGAUUCGGAUGACAAAGGGCGUAUUAAGUCAUUGCAUACAUCUGGCUUGAUUCCAGCACAAGGAAAGCACAUCGCUGACAGACUUGAUGGCAUCUGGGUCUCAGGGAGCCAAAUUCUGAUGAACCGACCGCGAGCAAGGCUAGGACUCUUGGCGUAUUGGCUCUUCCUGCACCUAUGGUUGGUAGGCAGCAUCUUGUGA
rnacentral:rRNA from 1 species